rnacentral:tRNA from 3 species
ACUUUUAUAGUUUAAUAAAAAUAUUUUAUUUUCAUUAAAAUGAUGAUUAAAAAUCUAAGAGUU